AUAUACAUAUGUAUAUAUACUAAAAUUAUUGGUAUGAUAUGAAAAAGAUUAUCAUAGCCCCUGUACAAGGAUGACAUGUUAAUUUAUGAAACAUUCUAUAUUUUA